rnacentral:tRNA from 1 species
GCCAACGUGGCACAACUCGGUACUGCGCAAGCCUGGAAAGCUUGUUUCCGCAAGGAUGUCCCGGUUCAAAGUGGCCCGUAAACAAAUCUGCAGGCUAAGAAAAUCCGGGCGUUGGCG